rnacentral:rRNA from 1 species
GACGGGUGAGUAACGCGUGAGGAACCUGCCUUUCAGAGGGGGACAACAGUUGGAAACGACUGCUAAUACCGCAUGACACAUAGGUGUCGCAUGGCACUUAUGUCAAAGAUUUAUCGCUGAAAGAUGGCCUCGCGUCUGAUUAGCUAGUUGGUGAGGUAACGGCCCACCAAGGCGACGAUCAGUAGCCGGACUGAGAGGUUGAACGGCCACAUUGGGACUGAGAUACGGCCCAGACUCCUACGGGAGGCAGCAGUGGGGAAUAUUGGGCAAUGGGCGCAAGCCUGACCCAGCAACGCCGCGUGAAGGAAGAAGGCUUUCGGGUUGUAAACUUCUUUUGUCAGGGACGAGUAGAAGACGGUACCUGACGAAUAAGCCACGGCUAACUACGUGCCAGCAGCCGCGGUAAUACGUAGGUGGCAAGCGUUGUCCGGAUUUACUGGGUGUAAAGGGCGUGUAGCCGGGAGGGCAAGUCAGAUGUGAAAUCCACGGGCUCAACUCGUGAACUGCAUUUGAAACUACUCUUCUUGAGUAUCGGAGAGGCAAUCGGAAUUCCUAGUGUAGCGGUGAAAUGCGUAGAUAUUAGGAGGAACACCAGUGGCGAAGGCGGAUUGCUGGACGACAACUGACGGUGAGGCGCGAAAGCGUGGGGAGCAAA